UACGGAGGGUGCGAGCGUUGUCCGGAAUCACUGGGCGUAAAGAGCGCGUAGGUGGCGGAGCAAGUCAACGGUGAAAGCUCGACGCUCAACGUCGAGUCGGCCGUCGAGACUGCUUUGCUCGAGCACUGUAGAGGCAGAUGGAAUUCCGGGUGUAGCGGUGGAAUGCGUAGAGAUCCGGAAGAACACCGGUGGCGAAGGCGGUCUGCUGGGC
rnacentral:rRNA from 1 species